GACGAACGCUGGCGGCGUGCCUAAUACAUGCAAGUUGAGCGCUGAAGGUUGGUACUUGUACCGACUGGAUGAGCAGCGAACGGGUGAGUAACGCGUGGGGAAUCUGCCUUUGAGCGGGGGACAACAUUUGGAAACGAAUGCUAAUACCGCAUAAAAACUUUAAACACAAGUUUUAAGUUUGAAAGAUGCAAUUGCAUCACUCAAAGAUGAUCCCGCGUUGUAUUAGCUAGUUGGUGAGGUAAAGGCUCACCAAGGCGAUGAUACAUAGCCGACCUGAGAGGGUGGUCGGCCACAUUGGGACUGAGACACGGCCCAAACUCCUUCGGGAGGCAGCAGUAGGGAAUCUUCGGCAAUGGACGAAAGUCUGACCGAGCAACGCCGCGUGAGUGAAGAAGGGUUUCGGAUCGUAAAACUCUGUUGGUAGAGAAGAACGUUGGUGAGAGUGGAAAGCUCAUCAAGUGACGGUAACUACCCAGAAAGGGACGGCUAACUACGUG
rnacentral:rRNA from 1 species